rnacentral:rRNA from 1 species
GACGAAACGCUGGCGGCGUGCCUAACACAUGCAAGUCGAACGGAGUAAACCGCUGAUUUGAAGGUAGCUUGCUACUGGAUUUUCUUGGUUUACUUAGUGGCGGACGGGCGAGUAACGCGUGAGCAACCUGCCUUUCAGAGGGGGAAUAACGACCGGAAACGGUCGCUAAUACCGCAUAACGUAUCAUGGUGGCAUCAUCGAGAUACCAAAGGAGCAAUCCGCUGAAAGAUGGGGCUCGCGUCCGAUUAGAUAGUUGGUGGGGUAACGGCCUACCAAGUCGACGAUCGGUAGCCGAACUGAGAGGUUGAUCGGCCGCAUUGGGACUGAGACACGGCCCAGACUCCUACGGGAGGCAGCAGUGGGGGGAUAUUGGUCAAUGGGGGAAACCCUGAUGCAGCAACGCCGCGUGAAGGAAGAAGGUCUUCGGAUUGAAACUUUUGCUUUGGGGACGAAUAAAGUGACGGUACCCAAGG